UCGGCUUAGAGUUUGAUCAUGGCUCAGGACGAACGCUGGCGGCAUGCCUAAUACAUGCAAGUCGAACGAGUGCUUGCACAGUGGCGAACUGGUGAGUAACACGUGGGAAAUCUGCCCAGAAGCAGGGGAUAACACUUGGAAACAGGUGCUAAUACCGUAUAACAACAAAUCCGCAUGGAUUUUGUUGAAAGGUGUUCGUAUCACUUCUGGAUGAUCCCGCGGCGUAUUAGUUAGUUGGUGAGGUAAAGGCCCACCAAGACGAUGAUACGUAGCCGACCUGAGAGGGUAAUCGGCCACAUUGGGACUGAGACACGGCCCAAACUCCUACGGGAGGCAGCAGUAGGGAAUCUUCCACAAUGGACGAAAGUCUGAUGGAGCAAUGCCGCGUGAGUGAAGAAGGGUUUCGGCUCGUAAAACUCUGUUGUUAAAGAAGAACACCUUUGAGGUAAUUCAAGGGUUGACGGUAUUUAACCAGAAAGCCACGGCUAACUACGUGCCAGCAGCCGCGGUAAUACGUAGGUGGCAAGCGUUGUCCGGAUUUAUUGGGCGUAAAGCGAGCGCAGGCGGUUUUUUAAGUCUGAUGUGAAAGCCUUCGGCUUAACCGGAGAAGUGCAUCGGAAACUGGGGGACUUGAGUGCAGAAGAGGAAGUUGGAACUCCAUGUGUAGCGGUGGAAUGCGUA
rnacentral:rRNA from 1 species